AACGAACGCUGGCGGCAGGCUUAACACAUGCAAGUCGAGCGCCCCGCAAGGGGAGCGGCAGACGGGUGAGUAACGCGUGGGAAUCUACCCAUCUCUACGGAAUAACUCAGGGAAACUUGUGCUAAUACCGUAUACGCCCUUCGGGGGAAAGAUUUAUCGGAGAUGGAUGAGCCCGCGUUGGAUUAGCUAGUUGGUGGGGUAAUGGCCUACCAAGGCGACGAUCCAUAGCUGGUCUGAGAGGAUGAUCAGCCACACUGGGACUGAGACACGGCCCAGACUCCUACGGGAGGCAGCAGUGGGGAAUAUUGGACAAUGGGCGAAAGCCUGAUCCAGCCAUGCCGCGUGAGUGAUGAAGGCCCUAGGGUUGUAAAGCUCUUUCACCGGUGAAGAUAAUGACGGUAACCGGAGAAGAAGCCCCGGCUAACUUCGUGCCAGCCGCCGCUGUAAAAC
rnacentral:rRNA from 1 species